rnacentral:rRNA from 1 species
AUUGAACGCUGGCGGCAGGCCUAACACAUGCAAGUCGAACGGUAUCACAGAGAGCUUGCUCUCGGUUGACGAGUGGCGGACGGGAGAGUAAUGUCUGGGAAACUGCCCGAUGGAGGGGGAUAACUACUGGAAACGGUAGCUAAUAUCGCAACACGUCGCAAGACCAAAGUGGGGAACCUUCGGGCCUUACACCAUCGGAGGUGCCCAGAUGGGAUUAGCUAGUAGGUGGGGUAAUGGCUCACCUAGGCGACGAUCCCUAGCUGGUCUGAGAGGAUGACCAGCCACACUGGAACUGAGACACGGUCCAGACUACUACGGGAGGCAGCAGUGGGGAAUAUUGCACAAUGGGCGCAAGCAUGAUGCAGCCAUGCCGCGUGUAUGAAGAAGGCCUUCGGGUUGUAAAGUACUUUCAGCGGGGAGGAAGGCGGUGAAGUUAAUAACUUCACCGAUUGACGUUACCCGCAGAAGAAGCACCGGCUAACUCCGUGCCAGCCGCCGCGGUAA